rnacentral:rRNA from 1 species
CCUACGGGUGGCAGCAGUGAGGAAUAUUGGUCAAUGGACGCAAGUCUGAACCAGCCAUGCAGCGUGCAGGAAGACGGCUCUAUGAGUUGUAAACUGCUUUUGUACGAGGGUAAACGCAGAUACGCGUAUCUGUCUGAAAGUAUAGUACGAAUAAGGAUCGGCUAACUCCGUGCCAGCAGCCGCGGUAAUACGGAGGAUUCAAGCGUUAUCCGGAUUUAUUGGGUUUAAAGGGUGCGUAGGCGGUCGGAUAAGUUAGAGGUGAAAUCCCGAGGCUCAACUUCUGAAUUGCCUCUGAUACUGUUCGUCUAGAGAGUAGUUGCGGUAGGCGGAAUGUGUGGUGUAGCGGUGAAAUGCUUAGAUAUCAUACAGAACACCGAUUGCGAAGGCAGCUUACCAAGCUACUUCUGACUUUGAGGCACGAAAGCGUGGGGAGCAAACAGGAUUAGAUACCCCGGUAGUC